rnacentral:misc_RNA from 1 species
UUUGUUUAUACAACAUAGAAUAAUAUAUAUCUUUGUUUAAUCCAUGUCAAUAUAUAUAUUAUUUUUUAUAUUAUUUGAAUGUUUUAUUCAAAUAAUAUAAACAUUUAAAAAAUAAAUUCAAGGUUUAAAGUAUAAAAUAAAAACCCUGGCAAUAAC